UGCUCAAAGUAACCUCCAACACACUUGC
rnacentral:piRNA from 1 species